UUCUUCUUCCUCUUCCGCUUCCUCUUCCUCUUCCUCUUCUUCUUCUGCUUCUGCUUCUGCUUCUGCUUCUUCUGCUCAGGACAUUUUACAGCUGGAGAAUUCCUUCGGCGUGAGCAUCAGGAGCCGGUCUAAUUGCUCCCUCUCUGCUCCGACUUUGCCAUUUUAAUGGCUGCGCUCGCUCAGCUGGCAAUGUCAAGUGUCUCCCUUUU
rnacentral:miRNA from 11 species